CGCUCCCGGCAGCCCCCGCGCGGGGCGAGCCCGGGAGGUGGUGCCAGAGCACUGAUGACUGUGAAACUCAAGCUAAGCUGGGGUCUACUCACAACAGUUAAAAUACAAAACAGUGAUGCAAACUGCAUCGUGCAAGAGGAUGCGAGUUCGCAGCUAGGCCAUCUGAAAAGAAAUAAUGAGAAUGCUUUGAAGAUGCUGAGCUAAAGGAUAUAAGAAGAAGGAUGAAACAGCUAACAGCAUGUGCUUAAAGAAUGAAAGAUCCUUCUGACAAUGACUGCUGCUGCUCCCAGCUUUCUUCUAGGUGAGAGGAUCCACACCUAGAUAAGCUGCCAAGAAUCAGACCGUCUUCCUGUCACCUGUGAGAAAUUAUCAUCUUAUAGCUAAAUAUUGGACUUUGCUUUGGUUUGGACUCAUUUAACCCUGAAUACUUGUAGUAAAUAAAGCC